UCAUGAUUUUCAGCCUCUAGUUUUGGGUGCUGCUGAAACUUUGUGAAUGCUUUUUAUUCAAUGAAACGUGAAAUUGAAGCUGUAAUUUUUCGCGAUUUAUGACUAAUAACGACGUUAAUUCUGUCUAAGCAUACUAAUUUAUUCAACCGCCAAGGCCUUCUAUUCAGUUUCUUCAGACAUAGAAGGAGAUGGUAAAAGGUAGCACAUGGACAUGAAUUUCCCCACCAAUUCUCAGCAAUCUUUUUCUGAUGACGAUGAAAUAGACUACUCGGUGAAGCCAGAAUUGUAUGACUCUGGUGCUGAUGAUAAAGAUGAAUUAUGGGUUCAAAAGGUUCUGAUGCUGUUUUUAGUUGCCCAUCUUGUUUCACCACGCUCCGCCUUCACUGCCAAAGGUGAGUCAGUAUAGGGCAGUUUUUGUUGCUGACAGCAAGAUUGGAAGCGGCCAAGUACAUCAAAUUAUUCAGCCAAAAGAGGACGGGGAAUUUUAUGAGUGAAGAGAAUCCUUCUGAUGAAACAUCGAAGCCAGUUUUUCUCUGUUUGCUCAAUGCAUGUGGGUGUCCUUCCGAGUGGCUGUUGAUCUGUCAACUGCAUUUAGCCGCACUGUGGAAGUUUCUCUGGUUCCGGUUCUGUUAACGCUAGGAGUUUCUCUGAUAGAUAAUAUUUUUGAAUAAACAAUAAAAUUACGUACAUCC